UGAUAAAAUUCAAUAAGCUACGUCUCUGUGUUGAGAUUACAGCGAAAGAGUCAAGUGAUAUUAGUCGGAAGGACGGAUCAAGAGGAAGGAUGAAACGGCCUAUUGAAUCUAUCUCAAGAGUAGAAUCUAGAUUCGAAGUUCCGGG
rnacentral:sRNA from 1 species